rnacentral:rRNA from 1 species
UACAGAGGGUGCAAGCGUUAAUCGGAAUUACUGGGCGUAAAGCGUGCGCAGGCGGUUUUGUAAGUCUGUCGUGAAAUCCCCGGGCUCAACCUGGGAAUUGCGAUGGAGACUGCAAGGCUAGAAUCUGGCAGAGGGGGGUAGAAUUCCACGUGUAGCAGUGAAAUGCGUAGAGAUGUGGAGGAACACCGAUGGCGAAGGCAGCCCCCUGGGUCAAGAUUGACGCUCAUGCACGAAAGCGUGGGGAGCAAACGGG